rnacentral:rRNA from 1 species
AUUGAACGCUGGCGGAAUGCUUUACACAUGCAAGUCGAACGGCAGCACGGGGGCAGCCCUGGUGGCGAGUGGCGAACGGGUGAGUAAUACAUCGGAACGUGCCCGGUCGUGGGGGAUAACGUAGCGAAAGUUACGCUAAUACCGCCUACGAUCUGAGGAUGAAAGCGGGGGACCUUCGGGCCUCGCGCGAUCGGAGCGGCCGAUGUCAGAUUAGGUAGUUGGUGGGGUAAAGGCCUACCAAGCCGACGAUCUGUAGCUGGUCUGAGAGGACGACCAGCAACACUGGGACUGAGACACGGCCCAGACUCCUGAGGGAGGCAGCAGUGGGGAAUUUUGGACAAUGGGCGCAAGCCUGAUCCAGCCAUUCCGCGUGCAGGACGAAGGCCUUCGGGUUGUAAACUGCUUUUGUACGGAACGAAAAGGCUCUGGCUAAUACCUGGGGCUCAUGACGGUACCGUAAGAAUAAGCACCGGCUAACUACGUG